UACGUAGGGGGCUAGCGUUGUCCGGAAUCAUUGGGCGUAAAGAGCGUGUAGGCGGCCCGGUAAGUCCGCUGUGAAAGUCGGGGGCUCAACCCUCGAAUGCCGGUGGAUACUGUCGGGCUAGAGUGCGGAAGAGAAGAGUGGAAUUCCACGUGUAGCGGUGAAAUGCGUAGAGAUGUGGAGGAACACCAGUGGCGAAGGCGACUCUUUGGUCUGUAACUGACGCUGAGGCGCGAAAGCGUGGGGAGCAAACAGG
rnacentral:rRNA from 1 species